UGCUCUCUAUUUGGUACCUGGGAAUGGAGUGCAGGUAAAGCAACAGUCUGCAAAACUCUUGAGGAGAGAGUUGAGAAGACGCCCAGCCUUUCCUGCCCCCGUAGACCUCAACCACAGCCCGGCCUACUCUAUCACGACUGCCUGGUAUUGAUCCACAUAUUCUCCUUCCAGCUCUCGGUUGUGCCUGCUGUCCCAGGUAUUAGGAGAUACCCUGCCAACAGGUUUUCCAGCAAAACUGCUCAUUGGAUGUCCUUGGUCAACCUUCACUAAUCUGCUACCACCCUCCACUAGCUGAACAGAAACUGCCAUCCCAUCAUUUGCUGGAAGAAUUGUAGUUUCCAUCUUAAGUGAUGUUAGACUUGGGCCUGUCACGGAAUUCCGGGUUGGCAACUUCAGUCCAAGGUACCUUCACAACCCCAUGGUCAGAGGAAAGCACACACUGACAUAGAGGAUUUCCAUUACGUCCCUCAUUUAUUUCCCUUAGCCAAGACUCUGUGAAUAUGCAUGGAUAAGAUGUCUCAGGGAUGGGAGUCCCCUCAACUGCAGGACACUCCAGCAACCUGGAACCAGCUUGCAAUGCCAGAUUAUCUUGCCCCAGGAGGUCUUCCGGCACAAGAAGACUUUUGAGGAUGAUUCGGGCUGACUGUUCUCCAAAAGGUUCCACCUGCAAGUAGAAAUCUCCAGGUCGAAGAAGUAAAGGGUUGAUGGGGGCAAGUUGGAUCACCACUCGAUCGCUCAGGCACAAUGGCCAACCCUCACACCGGAACAGGACAUCUGAGUAUGACGCCUAGUGGGAGAAAGAAAGGGUAAAGCUAGUUUGUUGAUUUGCAGAUCAUUUUGGAUUGACAGAUUUUAUAACCACAAAAUCCUUAAUAGCUUGGUCUUGAUGCCGUUUAUUGGCUUGCAUGCAAACAUUCUUGAAUCCCCUUCAGAAGAAGCUGUCUCGGAAGGCCUUUGUUCUUUCUGAAGAUAAAACAAAACAAUCUUGUGCUGAGUGGACAAGGAAAAGUUACUUGCGGGAUCUGUGCCAUAAAAGUCCACAUGGAAGAAAUGUGUGCACAGGAAACUGCUUUCAUUCUGCUCUGCAUGCUAACAUACUUUACUCUUUAAGACUUAGUUCACCCAAACAUGAAAAAACAUAAUAGACUUACUCCUCUCACUGUCCUUUUCCAUACACUGAAAGCAUACACUGAGCAUGACCUGUCAUGCCUCAUAAAAGUAGCCCACGCAAACCUAUAUUCCAAGUCUUCUGAACCUUUAUGCUAAAGUUGAAGUGUGGAAUGAAUUUGUUUUGAGCAUGAGUAGCUGUUUGUCCAGACAACAUAAGAUGAAAUGUUAGUUUUGCAGUUGUGAAAUGUAUUCAUUAAAACUCUUUCUCCUCAC